rnacentral:snRNA from 1 species
GUGCUGGCUUCGCAGCACAGGUACUAAAAUUAAAACGAUACAGAGAAGAUUAGCAUGUCCCCUGUGCAAGCAUGACAUGCAAAUCCGUGAAGUGUUCCAUAUUUUU